rnacentral:lncRNA from 1 species
UUUGCCUUCUGCCAUGAUUGUGCGGCCUCCCAGGCAGCUCAUCAGUAGUGUCAUACACAUUUUUAGGAUUAUUGUCAAAUUUGGGAAAGCCUCUAUCAAGAUAUUAUUUCUGGCCUGCAACUUCAUGUUACAAUGCCUGCUGAGAGUUAAUUCCUCAGUGUGGAAGAAAUUAAGACUGCUACCAGCCUUCCUUGAAUUCCCUCCAAACCCAUUUUGGGACUUGGUCGAAAGAGCCACCUCUCACUGCACAUGCUGUUCUAUCAUGGCAGAAGAUGGGAACAGCAAGCUGUGAUGAAUCAAGCAAUUGUGCUUAAAGCUUUUGUGCAGAAUCAGCACAUUGCUACUUCUGCUCAUAUCC